CUCGCUGUUUCAUCACUCUCUGUGCUGCGCCUCUCCUCUGAUCUCCUCCCACAGUUUCUCAAGUCCUCAACAAUGGAGUUCCUGGAGGAAGAGCCUGCGCCGUCAGCAAUACCUCGUCUCUGCCUCUCCUUCGCACUCACAUCUACCAGCGCCGUCCUCUUCUGCAUCGCCGUUCAUGUUCGUUAUCUCCUCUACGUCGUCGUCGGUUCCUGUUCUAUCAUCCAUGGUGGUGCUCCUCUGCGUCAUUGCCGUUCGUGCUCGUCUGCCAUCGCAUCCUCUGCAUCAUUGUCGUUCGUGCUCGUCUGCCAUCGCAUCCUCUGCGUCGCUGUUCCUACUCGUGCUGCUCCUCUGCUUCUGCUACCCUGGUCCCUGGUCCCUAGCUAGUCCUCUAUCUCUGCUACACUGGUUCAUCUCGGUCGUUCUCCUUCCUCCACGUCAGAGCAGAGGUCUUUACUCCUUUUGUUAGAUCAUCCGGAGAAAGCUGAACUUGAGUCGGUACUUGACUGCUCAGAUUCAACUGUCAAAACUAAACUCUAGCGCAUCAUGCUAAUCCAAACAGAUCUUUGGAUCUUGUUCCUGAACGUGCUUUUGUUGAUGUUGUUCUUUGCAAUUUGGUUUACCAUCUAGUGAUCAUAAACUUUCUCAGUUAAAUUGAGUUUAUUUGCCUUCAAUUGAACCCCAAAGGUUAAAAUGAAAAAUAGAAUACAGGAAUUUUAUUUUGUUAUGGUAUUUGUAGACUUUGUGACAUUAUGAGUCCUUGUUUAAAUAUAUUUCUGUCUUUGGAUUCUGAAUGUACAUAGAUUUUUUUUUCCUUUUCAUGUAAAUGAAAUAAGGGUUUAGCGACCGAUUUCCAAGAAAAAUCGGUUGCUAAAUCGGUCGCUAUUUUUGUAAUUUUUUGUAAUGAUAUAUCAAUUAAUUUAAAA